UUUAGCAGAAACCUCAGUCCACUGAGUCAACAAGCUCUCUCUUGAAUCAAUAUUGACUAGUCAAGGGUUUGGGGCUUGCCUUGCUUUGUUCUCUAGUUAAUCUGAAGUUCAUUCCAGCAGAGGUGAUCUUGUUAUACAUUCCAUCCUCACAAGACUCAGCUCUGAAUGGCCUUUGGGGUCAGACACCUGUGCAUGAAGAUUUAAGUGGAAAAGUCGAUGCACAGACAGUCCCACUCUCUCGGCGUUGGAAGCCUGGGUCCAGUGGCACGAAAAGUCGGUACACCUGAAGACUUCCUCAGCUGCAUUGGAUGGCCGUGUUGUCUUUUGUGCUCCAUCAUGCUCUAAGCACUCCACAGUGCCUUGCUGCAUCGCCAUCUCAGCCGUUGAAUCUUCUUGUUGAUUUCUUCCGCCUGUUCCACCGAAGCAGUCUUCACAUGCUAGAAGGAAGUGAAGGAGUAUGGUGGUAGAAGUCAAACCAAGGCCCAAGGAAAAGGAUGUUAUGGCAUUACCCUAAGAAAUAUAGACUGGUUGCCAGAAGGCAUGAAGCACAUGAAUGGUGAGCCUGAGGACCAUCAUGGGGUGGGUAUUUGUGUUCUGGAACAGAGUUCCAGCUGCCCCACCCUUGUAUGACUGUCAAACCUGCUCUUGAUCUUGACUUGUUGGUACCAAGAUUCUGCCCCCCUACCUGAUGAGUAUCUUUUUGGCUAUCAUGCUUUUUUUUUUCUUCCCCUGCUCCCCCAAACCAGAGAAUGUUCAAUCUGUAUCCUAAAUCCUGCAGAGCAACAGCCUAGAAAGAUUAAGCUAAGAGUAGUAGUACCACAAAUUUUCAGGUUUUUAAAAUGCCCAAUUAGCAUGAGCAAACUUUCCUCCCAACAAACCCCAAAUCCAGUCCCAGGAGACAAUAAUUAGCUUUGCUUUGAUACCUUUCCAAGAGUCAUACAUGUUUCAGCUCUUCUGCAGGACCCAUACACUUGAAUAACCUGUCAAUAAGCUUUUCUUUAACGCCAAUUUUAUCAAAGACAAAAUACCUGGUCUGUGGAAGAUCCAUGAUUAUCUUCCCUGUUACAUCUUCUUGGAUCUGUUUUCU
rnacentral:lncRNA from 1 species